rnacentral:rRNA from 1 species
UACCAGCACCCCGAGUGGUCGGGACGUUUAUUGGGCCUAAAGCAUCCGUAGCCGGCUCUACAAGUCUUCCGUUAAAUCCAGCUGCUUAACAGAUGGGCUGCGGAAGAUACUAUGGAGCUAGGAGGCGGGAGAGGCAAGCGGUACUCGAUGGGUAGGGGUAAAAUCCGUUGAUCCAUUGAAGACCACCAGUGGCGAAGGCGGCUUGCCAGAACGCGCUCGACGGUGAGGGAUGAAAGCUGGGGGAGCAAACCGG